CAUUGGCCUACAAUCUAUUCUUUUUUCUUCUGAAGUCUGUUCUGUUUGCACUUAUAGAUACUGAUAAGAAAGUGUUGUUACGCCUACUUACUUGUUUUAAGUGAACUCUAUUGCCUAUAUAAUAUGAAUGAAAUUUGAUAACACAAAACAAGACGUAUUAAGGAGUACCUGCGACCUUUUUUUUUUCGACCCUUUAAGUGGCCAAACGCGUCUCGCCUUGAGCUGAGCGUCAGCUAUUUUUAACACAUGUAUUAAUUUUACGGUUUUCAAAUUUUUGCUUAAAUAUGAUUUCAGAUACGUAAGGCGUUUUUGAGUAAGCUGAUAUGUAAUUAGUCCUCCUAAUUAUAUGACGACAUUUUAUAAGUAAGUAUACUUUUCCUAACCUAGCAGUUUUUUUAUUUCAUUUUGUUUAUUUAUUUAUUAAAUAAAACAAAUUUAAUGAAUUUCAUCGCAAUAACCAAAUAUUUACUGUAAUUAUUUUCGAACUAAUUCCUCAUAGCCAAAUUUUUUUGUUCCAAAAGUGAUAUUCUCGUAUAUGUAAUUAAAAUUGUAUUGAUAAUUUUAGUUUAUUUAUGAUAUAUUGAAAUCUUCAUCUACGAAAAUAAAUACAAAACGUCUUUGUUCUCUGUUUAAACUGGAUACUUCCCAAUUUUCAGAUGUUCCAAGUAACGAGGUAUCGAGUGCCACUGAAUGCUGUCCUGUUAUUUUAUUUUGAGCUAAACUACCACAAUCAGCAUCUCUACACUCGACCCGCGACCCCAAGAACCAGUGUUCUUCUACUCUAGACUUGGUAAUAUUAGUCCCUACAAUGCAAGUUACAUCGGUAGAGUGCAGCCAAGAGGAGAAAAAAUUAUAUUGAUAAAUAUUAUAAUAUAUAGAUAUAAUUUAAAAUUUUCCAAGAAAAAUCCAAAUCAUAUUGUUCACAUUCCAGUUUUCUUACGGCAGCAAAAAUGUAGCCGACGAGGCUACUCUAUGUAAUAAACUAUUUAUAUAUAUAAUCCUGGUCACGGCACCAAAAAUGUACCUUACCCCAUCUACCACUAAACUAAUUAACUAAAAUUCAACCAGGAUUAAAUAAAAAUAGGAAAAUAAAUAAAUUUGGCCAUGUGAUCGUCUAGUGUAUUUACGUUGUGAACCUUAGUACCCUUCGUCUUUUAUGUGAAAACUGAUACGAUUUGGAUUUUUCAAAACUAUCCCUAAAUAUCCUAUGAAUUUGUAAAUAUUCCUACUGUAUAUUUUUAUUAACACUAUUGUUAGACAAAUAAAAAAAAUAGUAAAUAAUAUAUAUUUUUUAGAAUUUAUCUCCUACCGGGCCCU